ACGUGGGUAACCUGCCCUAAAGUGGGGAUAACAUUUGGAAACAGAUGCUAAUACCGCAUAAACCUAACACCGCAUGGUGUAGGGUUGAAAGAUGGUUUCGGCUAUCACUUUAGGAUGGACCCGCGGUGCAUUAGUUAGUUGGUGAGGUAAAGGCUCACCAAGACCGUGAUGCAUAGCCGACCUGAGAGGGUAAUCGGCCACACUGGGACUGAGACACGGCCCAGACUCCUACGGGAGGCAGCAGUAGGGAAUCUUCCACAAUGGACGAAAGUCUGAUGGAGCAACGCCGCGUGAGUGAAGAAGGUUUUCGGAUCGUAAAACUCUGUUGUUGGAGAAGAAUGUAUUUGAUAGUAACUGAUCAGGUAGUGACGGUAUCCAACCAGAAAGCCACGGCUAACUACGUG
rnacentral:rRNA from 1 species